AUUGAACGCUGGCGGCAGGCUUAACACAUGCAAGUCGAGCGGGGGAAGGUAGCUUGCUACCGGACCUAGCGGCGGACGGGUGAGUAAUGCUUAGGAAUCUGCCUAUUAGUGGGGGACAACAUCUCGAAAGGGAUGCUAAUACCGCAUACGUCCUACGGGAGAAAGCAGGGGAUCUUCGGACCUUGCGCUAAUAGAUGAGCCUAAGUCGGAUUAGCUAGUUGGUGGGGUAAAGGCCUACCAAGGCGACGAUCUGUAGCGGGUCGGAGAGGAUGAUCCGCCACACUGGGACUGAGACACGGCCGAGACUCCUACGGGAGGCAGCAGUGGGGAAUAUUGGACAAUGGGGGGAACCCUGAUCCAGCCAUGCCGCGUGUGUGAAGAAGGCCUUAUGGUUGUAAAGCACUUUAAGCGAGGAGGAGGCUACUCUAGUUAAUACCUAGGGAUAGUGGACGUUACUCGCAGAAUAAGCACCGGCUAACUCUGUGCCAGCAGCCGCGGUAA
rnacentral:rRNA from 1 species